rnacentral:lncRNA from 1 species
AUGGGAGCAAAAGUAGGCAGGGGCAAGAAGAAAUUUAGGUUUGCAGACAGGCUGGGCAAAUACAGAAAUAAAGUUUCUCUGAAAACCUCAACACAACUGGAAGUCCUCAAGAAUCUUUCAAGCAAGCAGUCCUCUGUGAAAAAAAGACCAGUCCUCUAAGGAGUGCUGCUCUGUUUGGUGCACAGAGAAUGAAUGCCUCUUCCGCUUUGGCCACUGGGCUGGUGCCUCUCAGGAAAUGUUUGGACUCCUCCUAUUCAUUUUAGCUUGCAGUUCAUUCCUUCUGUGCUUCCUUAAAUGUUCUUGUAAGCACACUUUAUAAAUUGCACAAUUAUAAGUAAUUGUUCUCAUUCCUUCACUGAUUACUAGUGUAAAGAAUAUGAACAUAGAGAGCAAUACAAUCUAUUGUUAAUGCCAAUGCCAGCAUUUUAUAUUAUGGAAUGCAUUAUUUAUUCUUUGAAAGCCAUGACAAGAUAUUACCUUAUAGAAGUAUUUCCACUGUCAAACAAACACUCCCUUCCUAAAUAUACCUUGUCUGGGAAGCAUAAAUAUGAAAGAGAAUUACUGUAAGGAGCUAUUAUGUAACAGGAAUUUAGGGAAGCUGCUCAUAUUUGAUAAUUACAACACAGGGCAAAAUCCAAUCUUGAUUUAUAGAAUUAACUAAAGUGACUCUAAAAGAUCUGAAUUCUGCCAUUAGUUUGAUAAUGUUGCCAGACAUUUGUUUGAAAUUAUAAAGCAAUCAAAAUUCUGUAAACAGUUGCCAGAUUAUUGUAAAACAAAAUAAUAAAGUCUGUCUGAUAUGACA